CCGAGUGACCCUCGCAAGGAGGAACCGCGAACCGGGUCAGGCCUUAACCGGAGCAGCCCUAAGUGGGGUACUCUUGUGCGAGGGUCUCUCGGCUCCA
rnacentral:SRP_RNA from 1 species